rnacentral:pre_miRNA from 1 species
AGUAGAAUUGCUGGGUUGCAUGGUAGCCCUGUACUUAACACUUGAGGAAUUUUCCAGACUGUUUGCCAGAGUGGCUAUGCCAUUUUACAUUCCCACCAGUGAU